GUCGCAUGCACCGCGUACCAGUUUAUCACACCCAACGGCGUACCGGACUCGCUCUCAAACUUCAGCUGUACCAUAGUCUUGUCGACGUUAUGUUCGUAUCUACAUCAUUCGAUUCAAAAAUGAAACAAGCCAGCACGUUUCUUAAGUAGUACAAAAAUUCUGAACAAUUUGAAAAUAUGAGGAUCAUUAAAAGUUCUAAAAAUCCGAUUUUGAACAACUAUUAUACUCAAAGAUUAUUCUUAAAAAAGAAGGUGAUAAUGCUUGGUGAACAACACUGUAUAUAAUAUUUCCGGUUGAAGAGGGUCAAUUUUAGAAUUGUUUUUAUCGCCAGUGUAUAGAUUGUAGCAAAGUAAGUACAAUUUAUUGUUUGAGUAAUAUAGUUUUUAAGGUACAUUGUUACAACUAUACAAUUUUUUUUCUAUAAUAAUUAAAAAUCAUAGAAUAUACUCACA